GGGGAUAUAGCUCAGUUGGUAGAGUGUUUGCCUUGCAAGCAUAAGACCCUGGGUUCAACCCCCAGUACUGCCA